rnacentral:rRNA from 1 species
AAUAGAUACCCCGGUAGUCCACGCCGUAAACGAUGAGUGCUAAGUGUUGGGGGGUUUCCGCCCCUCAGUGCUGCAGCUAACGCAUUAAGCACUCCGCCUGGGGAGUACGGUCGCAAGACUGAAACUCAAAGGAAUUGACGGGGGCCCGCACAAGCGGUGGAGCAUGUGGUUUAAUUCGGAGCAACGCGAAGAACCUUACCAGGUCUUGACAUCCCGGUGACCACUAUGGAGACAUAGUUUCCCCUUCGGGGGCAACGGUGACAGGUGGUGCAUGGUUGUCGUCAGCUCGUGUCGUGAGAUGUUGGGUUAAGUCCCGCAACGAGCGCAACCCUUAUUCUUAGUUGCCAUCAUUCAGUUGGGCACUCUAAGGAGACUGCCGGUGAUAAACCGGAGGAAGGUGGGGAUGACGUCAAAUCAUCAUGCCCCUUAUGACCUGGGCUACACACGUGCUACAAUGGACGGUACAAACGGUUGCCAACCCGCGAGGGGAGCUAAUCCGAUAAACCGUUCUCAGUUCGGUAUUGUAAGCUGCAACUCGCCUAC